CGAAUUCCAAAUGAAGUUGGGAAUUUAAGCAGCUAGUUGGACCUUAGACAUUCUGGAAACAACUUGGUCGGAUCGAUUCCAACAUCAAUUGGCAACUUGAGAAACCUUCAGGUCUUCGACUUGAGUAACAACAAAUUAACAGGAUUUAUUAGAGAUCAGAUAUGUAAAUUGCCGCAUUUGGGUGAUAUUUACUUGGGUCAAAAUCAACUUUCAGGGAUAUUAGUUCCCUUAGGGAGAUACAUCUGGAUUCCAAUUAAUUGAGUUCCAAUAUACCAUCAAGCUUAGGGGACCUUAAAGAUCUAGUGGUUCUUGGCUUAUCGUCAAACAACAUGGUUGGUUUUUUACCUCCUGAAAUCGGAAAAUUAAAGGCUGCAACACGAAUUGAUCUGUCGAUGAAUCAAUUCGCAAAUGGAAUUCCAAGAGAAAUUGGAGGGUUGCAAAAUUUGGUGCAGCUUUCUUUGAGGAACAACAAGUUGCAAGGAUCUAUACUUGACUCAAUGAGCAACAUGGUAGGUUUGGAAUUUCUAGACCUUUCUGAUAAUAAUAUAUCGGGAACUAUUCCCAUGUCGUUGGAGAAACUUCUAUUCCUCAAAUAUUUCAAUGUUUCUAUCAAUAAAUUGCAUGGUGAAAUACCCUCAGGGGUCCUUUCAAGAACUUCUUAAGUAAGUUUUUCUUCUUUAAUGAAGCAUUGUGUGGUUCUUCAAGUUUUAGUGUUCCACCAUGCCCCACUUUAUCAAAGCAUAGAUCUAGUAGGAAAGAAAAGUUUGUUCUAUUUCUUUUGCUUGGAAUUGCACUAGUAUUUGUUCCUAUCACCUUGGUGUUUUUCUGUAUAAGAAAAGGUAAAAGAGCUCCUCAACAAGCUGAUCCAUUGUCUGCCAUAACAAGAGAAAUAAUUUCAUACUAUGAAUUGCUCCAAGAAACUGAUGCGCUUAGCGAUAGUAAUAUGAUUGGUUUUGGAAGUUUUGGCUCUGUCUACAAAGGCUUUCUUAGAAGUGGAAUUUCCAUUGAUGUUAAAGUGUUAAAUCUUCAACUAGAUGCAGUAUUCAAGAGCUUUGAUACGGAAUGUGAAGUUCUGCGUAGCCUUCGCCAUAGGAAUCUCGUAAAAGUCAUUACUAGUUGUUUCGACCUUGAUUUUAAGGCUUUAGUGCUCGAGUAUAUGGAUAAUGGGAGCCUUGAGAAGUAUUUGUAUUCAUACAACUUAUUCUUAGACACCAUGCAAAGGCUAAGCAUAAUGAUAGAUGUGGCAUGUACAUUGGAAUAUCUACACCAUGGGCGCUUGUCGCCUGUGAUUCACUGUGAUCUUAAGCCGAGUAAUGUCUUGUUGGAUGAGGAUAUGGUUGCCCACCUAAGCGACUUUGGCAUUUCAAAACUACUUAGUGAAGAUGAGAGUGAUUUAUACACUAAAACUUUUGCAACAUUGGGAUAUAUUACACCAAGUACGUCUCUUUUCUGCAUUUGAACAUUCAUGAUUUUUCUCUCUUUUUUUUCCACCAAGAAAGCUUAUAUUGCAUCUUUAAAUUAAUUGUUUGACUUUAGAAUAUGGACUGAAUGGAUUGGUCACAUAAAAAAUGUGAUGUAUAGAGUUAUGGGAUCAUGUUGCUUGAAACGUUUACUUGGAGAAAGCCUAAUGAGUUUGUGUUCUGAUGCAGCAUGGUAAAGUGGUAUCUUAUACGUCUAGGCAGUUAAAGUUGCAUGAGCGAAACUACCCCACUCAUGAAUUGGAGUUAGCGGCCGUGGUGUUUGCACUUAGAAUCUGGAGGCAUUAUCUCUAUGGGGUGCAUGUUGAUAUUUAUACUGACCACAAAAGUUUACAGUAUAUUUUCUCGCAGAAAGAAUUGAACCUCAGGCAGAGGCGUUGGAUGGAGCUUUUUAAAGACUAUGAUAUGAUCCUGCACUACCAUUUAGGCAAGGUAAAUGUUGUAGCUGACGCUCUCAGCAGGUUGUCUAUGGGCAGCUUUUCUCAUGUUAAAGAGGGUAAGAGAGAGAUGGUGAAGGAUAUUUACCGCCUUGCAAAUCUGGGAGUGCGACUCUUAGAUUUCAAAGAUAGAGGGGUGAUUGUUCAUUAGAUAGCUAAAUCAUCUCUUUGUGCUGAAGUCAAAGAAAAGCAGGCCGAAAAUCCCAUCUUGAUGCAGAUUAAGAGAGGUGUGGAUCAACAGAAAGUAAUGUCAUUUGAGAUUGGUGGCGAUGGUAUUCUGAGAUAUCAGGGUAGAUUGUGUGUGCCUAAUUUAGAUGGGUUACGGGAAAGAACCCUUAGGGAAGCUCACACGUCGAGGUAUUUUGUUCACCCAGGCUCUACAAAAAUGUAUCACAAUUUGAAAAACAAUUAUUAGUGGAAUAAUAUGAAGCGUGAUAUGGCUAAAUAUGUUGCCAAGUGUUUAAAUUGUCAGCAAGUCAAGGUGGAACACAUGAGGCCAGGUGAUACUUCUCAAGAGAUAGCACUGCCUUUAUGGAAGUGGGAAAUGAUCAAUAUGGACUUCAUUACAGGACCUCUGAAGUCCCGAAACCAGUAUGAUUCUAUAUGGGUGAUUAUAGAUAGGCUGACCAAGUCAGCACAUUUUUUGCAUGUCAGGACUAACUAUUCGGGAGAGGAUUAUGUUAAGCUGUUCAUCGCAGAAAUAGUUUUUUUGCAUGGGGCACCUGUGUCUAUCAUAUCUAACCGAGGUACGCAGUUUUCUUCUCAGAUUUGGAAAUCUUUUCAGAAAGGUUUAGGUACCCAAGUGAACCUAAGUACAGCAUUCCACCCUCAGACUGAUGGGCAAGCUGAACACACCAUCUAGACCCUUGAGGAUAUGUUGAGGGCCUGCGUAAUUGACUUUAAAGGUAGUUGGGUAGAUCACUUGCCAUUGAUAGAGUUCGCUUAUAAUAAUAGCUUCCAUUCCAGUAUUAAGAUGGUACCAUUUGAGGCGUUGUAUGGUAGGAGAUGUAGGUCUCUAAUAGGGUGGUAUGAAGUAGGUGAUACGCAGAUGUUUGGGCCUAAUCUUGUUCACCAGGAAAUAGAAGAUGUGAAGCUUAUUAGAGAACGACUUACAACAGCUCAAAGUCAUCAGAAAUCCUACGCCAAUAUUAGGGGGAGAGAGUUAGAGUUUGAGGUUGGAGAUUGGGUAUUUCUUAAGGUUUCUCCCAUGAAGGGAGUUAUGAAAUUCGGAAAGAAGGGUAAGCUGAGUCCUCACUAUGUAGGACCCUACCAGAUUAUAAGAAGGAUAGGUGGAGUUGCGUAUAAACUAGAGUUGCCUGCAAGUUUGGGUGUUGUCCAUCCGGUAUUUCAUAAAUCUAUGCUGAAGAAGUGCAUUGGAGAUCAUUCAUUAGUAGUACCCAUCGAAGAAAUCAAAGUGACAAACUCUUUGUCCUACGAAGAAGAGCCGGUAGCAAUUUUGGAUCGCCAAGUUAGAAAGUUGAGAAGCAAAGAGAUUGUUUUGAUUUAAGUGUUAUGCAGAAAUCAGAAAGUUGAAGAAGCUACUUGGGAAUCAAAAGAUGACAUGAGAAAUAGAUACCCAAAUUUAUUUGAUCUGGCGAGCGAAGUGAUGGAAGGUACAAUCCUUGUCCUAUUCUUUCUAUGCCUUUUUCUCUUGAAAUCAUGCUUGCCUAUUUUUUUUCCGCAUCAUCAUUCGGGGAUGAAUGAUCCUAAGGGGAGAUAAUGUAAUGCCCCGUAAAAUUUCGUGCAAUACAUUAUCUCUUAUUAGCAUGUCCAUGGAAUGAGAAACUUGAAAAUAAUUCUAAGUGUUAAAGAGAUAGUCUUAUUUUUAGCUCUUAAUCUUCGGAGAUUUUAUUUUUGACCUUCCCGACCUUCGUUUUUAGACUUUCUUAUUAUGUUGCGAUGGGGCAAGGUUGUAGUACAUCUCUAGUGAGUUUUGGGAUUUUUAGACGAGCCUAAGGGCACGUUUGGGUGUUAAUUCCAGUAGAAUCGGGCGAUUAGCCCGCGCUGCCUGGUAUAUUGCGGGGUUGUGGUAGGAUUAAAGGGGGAUAUAUAGCAGGCGCCGCCCCGUUGGAUCGCGCGUGACAUAUCAGGCACCACCCAGUGAACUACGCCGCUCUAGGCCAGGCGACGCCCGCCUAAUCGCGCCAGGUCAAAUUUCAGCAUUUCCUACCUGUUUCAUUAAGGGUAUUUUAGGUAUUUUCCAUCCCCUAUUAUCUUAAACACGGGAUUUAAUCCCUAGAAAGCCAAAAUACAACCACAUUCAUCAAAUUUUCUCAAAAACACUCUCUAGGGUUUCAAAAUAAAAAGUAAGUAGUUCAAGAUUCAACUGUAUGUUUUCGAAGUUGAUCGCAUAUUUGGAAACCCCAGGUCGUAGGCUUCAAUAAGCAUAUAUUGUCUUCCUAAUUUGAGGUACGCAGGAUUUUCCUAAAUUCUCAUGGGCAUAGAAAUCAUGUUUUAAGAAAGGGGUUUCUGAAUUCAUGUACAUAUUCAUGUUUUAGAAGCUUUAAUGAUAUUGUUUUGGCCUUUUGGCUUACCCCAAAGUGAUUUGAAAGUUAUAUAAAGAUGUAUGUAUGUGUUUAAGUCUUGAAAUAUGAAUUGAGAGCAUGAUAUAUAUGAAAUCCCUCUCUUGAUGUAAUUUUUCCCAAUGUUUCACAUGAUAUGGAUUGUUUUGAAAUACAUAUUGAAAAGCAUGUUAUGAAAAGUCUUAAAUAAUGAUUUUGGAUUAUGAUUUUUGCUUUUAAAAGAGAUAGGAUUGUUUGUAUUGACAAAUGGUGAAUAUCCAUUUAAUGAAAGAGUGCAUGGUUUUGCCAAAAGCACAUGACCACCAUAUGUUUUGAAAAGUUUUUGCAUGAGUUCUGUCUUAUGUUUUGGGACAUGAAAUCUUUUGUACUAUUUGCAUGCUUGGUGGUCUGAAUUGAGUUUUUAUGAAAGAAUUAUGCUUAAUACAUUAUGGCUCAGAAAUAGAACUUGCAAGUCUUGAUAUGACGAUACCAAAUUCAGACAAUGCCAUAAUAGACCCAGACAAAUGCAAAAAUCAGACUUUAUCAGAUUUUCAUGUUUUAGAACUUCAGAUUGAUGCAUGCUCAAAAAAGGCUAAAAUGGGGCAUAAAGAGAGCUUAGGUGGUUCCCCGAAGAAGGCUUGGUUCAGAUAACUCAUUGCCCAAAAUCGUGAUUUGUUGAUCCGGGUAUAUUAUUAUAUGUUGGCUUAGUACCUUGUGGCGUAUCAGACUCAGACACUCCAACCUUGCGACAUACUCGGGUUGGGGGCUUCCCCGCCGAGUUAAUGGCAGAUUUCAUAUAGCCCGUGGAAUAUCAGACUUGUAGGGGAGCUCCACCUAACUCCGAAGUAAUACAAAGAUCAGAAUUGUUUUGACAAGAAUGACUUAUGAUUUUCGAAUGAUGCCCAUGUGUAUCCAGAAACUAUUUUUAUGCAUGAUGUUUGAUGAAAAUUUGCUCUCGUUUAUUAGAUAUAUAUAUAUAUAUAUAUAUAUAUAUGUGUGUGUGUGUGUGUGUGUGUGUGUUCAAGUACUCUAUUUUGGAUUGCUUCACGUGCCAGUACUUUUGUGCUGACCCCCUCCCCUCCUCCAGGUUUUGAGGCACAGUCUAGGGGUCUAGAUAAAUAAUAGAUAUUUCAGAUCGCAGAUCAGAUAGUGCAGUGGUGAGCCUUCUAUGAUCCAGAAGGCCUGGUUAUUUCAGAUAAUUAUCUUUAGUUAUGUUUUAGUCUACUGGGGGCCUUGUCAAAGUUUUCAGACGGUUUGUUUAGUUCAUAGUAGAGAUUUCGCAGACUGAAACAGACAUUAUUAUUCAGACACAUUUGCGAAUCUCAGCUCAGUAUUAUGAUCAUAUUCAUAUUGACCAUGUUUCCGUAUUAAAUUUCUAUUUCCGCAUUUUCAUUUAUUUUAUGGAUGUUGUGCAUGAUUACCAGAUACUGAAGGGUGUUCCGUACCUUCAUGGUUCGGGAUGCUCGUCACGGCUAGGGCCCCGGCUCGGGUCAUGAUAUUUGGCUUAGACCAAAAAUCUGGCCUAGAAGGGCUUUGGUAUGUUUGUCAAGUUGGAGGGUGACUCUGAGGAGUUGGUGCAUGUCAUUGUAGGUAAGAUGGGGGUUGAACAUGUGGUUGUGUGCUAUACACUGGAUAUGGAGAUGAAGGAAUGGAGUAUAAAGGAUUUUCGGAGUGAUUCUGUGGAGCUUGGGCAUGAACUUGGGUUUGAGCCUGAGGGUAACGACGACGUGGCCUUCUUGACUAUGCCCAUUGUCUAACUACAAUAGCAGAUACAUCUUACUCAUUCUUCUUUCCCCUAACACUUCCUGAACCCCUUUAAAUUUCUUGAGUAGUUGCUUUCAAUAUUGCAAAACUCACAAUGCGACCAGACUUAAUUCCAUCCUCUAUCAUCUCCCCUAUUUUGAGAACCUCAAUAAAUGGCUUACCUAAUACAGGUAACACGUGUUUAUAAUAUGUUUCAUCCUGUGAUUGAGUAAACACCUCUACUAUUUUUCUUUCUUUCAUUGGCGGUUUCACCAUAGCAUCUUGGUCACGCCAUUGAAUCGCAUACUCUUUGAAACUUUCAGUACUCUUCUUCUUUAAUACAGGGUCGCUUGUAGAGUGAGGAAUCACAACCGUUGGAUUGACAUUAAAAGCAGGAGCUUUAGGCUGGGGGUGGCAUCGGAAAAGCAUGAACAGUAGGUAGAUUCGAGCAUGUGGUAACUUUGUGUUGAGGAGUGAGGAAAUAAACAUUAGAAGUGUUUGGAUAGUGUUGCCCCGGAGUAGUCCUAAUGCAUGUUGUGGUGUGUCAACAAAAAUGAAAAAUUAUGCAUGUGACACAAGAGGCAAACUAGAAAGAUAUUUCAGAUUAUUAGUGAAAAAUGGAGGCGGGGCGACCCAUUAGCCCAAGCUUGAUGCAUUUUUAUCAUCUGUAGUCUUAAUUUCUGAAUCUCUUCAUUAGCUCCUAAAUUCUCAUUUUCCGAACUCCCUAUCUGAUUAGUGACAACAAUAUCAGUAUCCUUGUUGGCCAUAACCUUCUCUUAGACUUGGUGCAAUGUGGAGGACCAGCCAAAAAUGCCACAAACCAACCACCUUAAAAUAACUGAACAAGAGAUAACAAAUGCGUUAGAGUUCAACACUUUUUCAAAAACCUCUCUUCUUUUUUCCUUUUUGAAAAUAUCACAGAACCCGAGAAGGGAGCUUACGUAUCUCACCCUCGAGAGGGGAGAAUCAGGUGUACGUAGUUCGUAAAGCUUGACCAAAAAUGACCAGACCAAAAAUGACCAAUCAAACUCUUUUUCUUUUUCUCUUAUUUUUUUGAAACUUUGAGAAGAAAAGAAAAUAACAAAUUGUCAAAAGAAUUGACGAAAUCUUUUAACAUUUUUCAGGUUUAAAUCCCUAUACAAAAUGAAACCUAUAAUUACCAAAGAAAAAUCUUUUUGGGUUUUCAAUUUUUAAUUUCAUAAGAAAAUAAACUUGAAACUAUUAAAGGAAAAUCUUUUGUGGUUUUCUUUUAAAGAUGUAUAUGACAUCUACUCUAAAUGAAUAAUGAAGAAAAAAUCUUUCUGAAUUUUUCAGAUUCCUAUACAAAAUAAAACCUAUGAUAACCAAAGAAAAAUCUUUUUGGGUUUUUGAUUUUGAAAUUCAUAUGAAAAUAAAACUUGAAACUAUUAAAGGAAAAUCUUUUUGUAGUUUUCUUUUAAAGAUGUACAUGGAACACCUACUCUAAAUGAAAAGUAAAGAAAAUCUUUGUAGAUCUUUGAAAUAAGAUCCCCGAAUCCACAAUAGGCUGCCUACGUAUUUCACUCCCGAGAGAGGAGAAUCAAGGGUGCGUAGUUCAUCCAGAUAGGACAAUUAAGGAUUAAAUAACCGACUGAACCCUGACUUGAGAGACGCGACCACAAACAAAAGAUGAAAAACAUCAAUAAAAUUUUUUUUGAGUUUUCAAAUUGAUACUUACCUAAAAAAAAUAACACCAACAAAUAUGAAAAGGAAACCUUUUUUGGUAUUUGCAUUAUAUGAAAUGUACCAAGCUUCUACCAUUUUUUUUGAAUUUCUUUUAUAAAAAUUUUCUAUUAAAGAAAAAAAUCUUUUUGAAAUUUUUGAAUUAUGAAUGCUUGAUACAGAAAUAAAAUGAAAAUCUUUUUGAUAUUUUUGAUAAAAUGAGUGCGAAAGGUAAAAAGAAAAAUCUUUUUUGAAUUUUGAAUUGUGGAAAACAAAAGUCAUAAAGAAUCCUAAAAAUUACGAAACUCUUUUUUGAUUCACUUUUUCUCUUAUAUCUUUUUAUUUUAUUUUUCAUGCCUACACACCUUUCUUUGAUUCUAGCACAUGCUUUCCCCAAAUCAGUUUAUCAAAUGACCCCGUUACCCUCAAAGAUGCAACAAUUAGCACGUAGAGAUGCUUUAGAAGUGAGUCUCUUACAAAGGAUCAAGUGGGUCCCGCUAGAUCUUAAUAUGAUGCAGAUAAGCAUGACCUAAAGGCUGACCUAUGUUGGGAUCCACUAAUAAGGCCAUUCGGGGGAGCAUAUGGUCGAUAGUGGUUGUUUUGCUUUCCACCUACUCCAUAUAACCGACGGAUCCCCCUUCUAAAAUAAGGGUGACUCAACUAGAGGUCAUGGACACACGUGUACUACAGACUUAUUGUAGAAAGAAUGACUCGGGUUAUCCGCAUGAUGCCAGAUAUAAAGCGGUAACACAUAAGAUAAAAACUGUAGACACGUAGCACAUAGGUAAUCAACAAUGAUAAAACAAUAACACAAACAAUGUUUAUACACCCAUAAUGUCAAACUAAGCCGAUACAACUUCAAAAAGAGUCGUCAGAGCUGUCACACCCCUUUUUUAACCAAAAAAAAUAAUUUUUAAGUUUGAAAGAAUUUUAUUAUUAAGUGACAAAAUAAAGAUUUAUUUUGAAAAGGACCUUUUAUAUUAAAAACUCAGAAUCUCCACUUGGCAUAAAUCGAGUGUGCCAAAUCACCCUUGGAUAUCCUUUUUCAAAAUAAAUUUGACACUUUAAAACUGAUCCACGAACGGAGAUUCCGAUUAAGGAAUUCUAUUGAUCGAGUGGAAGGUGUUAGGCACCCCUCGAUCCCGUGGUUCGACCAUGAUAGCUUGGUAGAGCAUAUCAGCUAGUAUGAUGCUAUGAAUGUAUAAAACCACAUAAAACACACAAAACAAUCAAUCAAACCAACAAAAUAAAACAAAUCCAAAAUAAAAUGUCCAGUCCAAUUAUUACAAACUGGAAUAUAAAAAUAGGAAAAUGUAAACCUACUUUAUUCUAGACUAAUCCUAAACUACACUCCAAUGCUUUACCCAACGCCUCGGGCUUCAUCACGAAUGUCCUUCGAGUACAAGAUACUACAGGACAUUCUCCGGUGAAUAAAUACAAAUGAACUUGGGGCAUUCCCCGGCUAAAUGAAGACAUUUUCAAUCUUUGCGAUAAAGUAUAAAGAAUCAUUCACUCCCACAUUCAAACUUUCAACAAACUAUAAUCUCUAAAUUUUCCUACCCAUUUGACGGCCUAACGCAUAAUACUAUCGUGUUCAACAAUUAUCGUUCAUUUUUAAAUCGAUAAAUCAAUCAACGAUGCAACAGGCCAAUAUUCAACAUUUAUCGACUUUCAACUCUCGCCCCAAAUAAUCGAUUUUAAUCCUUAAUGUGAUAUUGUUUCAUCACACAACCCCUAAUCAAUCCAUAAUCAAGAAAUCAAACACCGAAUUAAAACAAACAAUAAUUCACAUCAUCACAGAUCAACCAACAUAACGCGUUUAAUUCAAAACAUCGAACAUGAAAAAUAAUGAAAUAAAUAAAAGUAGGAAUAGAAUUAGACCUCGAUUAGAAGGUUUUGAAAUUCAAUAGUACUUCAAUGAAAGGACAGAAUCCACGUCGAAGAACCUUGAUUCUGAACCUCCAUUCGAACCCGAGCUCUGGUAUGUAUCCUUUUUUCGUCUUCCACUAACCCAAAACAAAAAUCGCGGAAAACAGAUAAUACCCGAACACAAUUUCCAAUUAAUUCUCGCUUGGAAUAAACUUGAAUAGUCAGUCAUAGAGGAUUUCGGGACUGUGAUGGGUCUAUCCGAUGAGCUCAAGUCAAUUCCGGAGUAGAGUUCGCCGGAAUAACAAAAAUGCAAGUUGCGACUAACAAAUUUCGGUCCGAUUUUGCUAGUUUUCAACUAGUGGAGCCGAUUUUAAGUCUCUAUGAUGGAAUUCGACGAGGAUUGGAUAAUUUCGGCGAGUUGGGUGUGUUGGAUUUAAGGGGGAACAGUGAUUCCUACAUAACUUCAUCGGAAUUUCAGAGUAGUGCGAACUAAUUUCCAUCCAUUUCUCUCUCUCUACUUUUACUCAAUUUUACCCCAUUUCCGUUUCUCCUCUCUCCCUGAUUCUCUAUCCCUCUUCGUUCAUGGUGUGUGGGGGUAUCGUGUAUGGUCUGUGUGUGAAUAGAAUUGAGAAUGGUGUUGUUGUGUAAUUGAUCAAAAAUGAAGGUCUAGUGUGUGUAUUGUGCUGUUAUGUGGAGUGUAUGCGUAUCUCCCUUGUGGAAAAGAUGUUGGAGCAUAUAAUGGCUAUGAGAGUGUAUGCUUGUGAGGUGGUAAAUUACAAUGGGCCCCUAUUUUGCCGUGCCUUUUUGUGUGUGUAUUCUUUUUGCAGAGUGAGGAUGAGUGAUGAAUAUCCUCUGUGGGGUCCG
rnacentral:lncRNA from 1 species